rnacentral:rRNA from 1 species
UACGUAGGGUGCAGGCGUUAAUCGGAAUUACUGGGCGUAAAGCGUGCGCAGGCGGUUUGCUAAGUCCGGUGUGAAAUCCCCGGGCUUAACCUGGGAACUGCGCUUGUAACUGGCAAGCUUGAGUGUGGCAGAGGGGGGUGGAAUUCCACGUGUAGCAGUGAAAUGCGUAGAGAUGUGGAGGAACACCGAUGGCGAAGGCAGCCCCCUGGGCUAACACUGACGCUCAUGCACGAAAGCGUGGGGAGCAAACAGG